UGCCAGACUCCUACGGGAGGCAGCAGUGGGGAAUAUUGCACAAUGGGCGCAAGCCUGAUGCAGCGACGCCGCGUGAGCGAAGAAGUAUUUCGGUAUGUAAAGCUCUAUCAGCAGGGAAGAAAAUGACGGUACCUGACUAAGAAGCUCCGGCUAAAUACGUGCCAGCAGCCGCGGUAAUACGUAUGGAGCAAGCGUUAUCCGGAAUUACUGGGUGUAAAGGGAGCGUAGACGGAUGUGCAAGUCUGAUGUGAAAGGCGGGGGCCCAACCCCCGGACUGCUCUGGAAACUAUGUUACUGGAGUGCAGGAGAGGUAAGCGGAAUUCCUAGUGUAGCGGUGAAAUGCGUAGAUAUUAGGAGGAACACCAGUGGCGAAGGCGGCUUACUGGACUGUAACUGACGUUGAGGCUCGAAAGCGUGGGGAGCAAACAGGAUUAGAUACCCCAGUA
rnacentral:rRNA from 1 species